UCUCUCAAAAUGCCAAAAGAAAAGCUCCAACACAAGAACAAGACUCCAGAUUCAGGAAGAUUUCAUAACACCCGCACUAGGGGCACUCAGCGAGGUCGUGUCCAAUGAAGUGUUUGUUUUGGAACUCCAGAGGCAUUGCCAAUCCAGAGACUAGGCGUGUCUUAAGGAAAUUCUGUCUCCCACAAUCCUAACUUUUUGUUCCUAGCUGAACCUUGGACCUCCUUUGACAAUUUCCCGACUACUUUUUGGGAAAAUUUGACCUGCCUUUGCAAAGGCUCUUUACUCGCUCAUUGUUAUGUUCUGGCUAUUUCAUACCAACACAUCUCCCUGGCUGUUAGUUUUAGUAACUUGUUUUUGUUGUGUAGCAUCUAUUUAUGGUGUCUCUUCUUCAAUCCUCUAACCCUGGACCAUGGAUCUUUCUUGGGGAUUUCAAUGUUGUUCAAGGAGCUCAUGAAAAAAGGGGCAGUCUUCUUCCAUUGAAGCAAUCCUGUGAAGAUUUAUGCAACUGCACUACUAGUAAUGGUCGAAAGGGAUCUAGAAGAAUUGAUAUGAGGUUAGACAGAAUCAUUUGCAACCAUCAGUGUUUUGACACUGGAACUCUAUUUCCUGCCUUGCCUUGGUGAGAUCAAAAUCUGAUCAUUAUCCUUUGCUGCUCUCUUUCGACAUGGUGAGUUGCGUCAUAAAUCUGUUUUUAAAUUCAUGACUAUGUGGUCUGAGAAUUCUGGAUGUAGAAAACUGAUUGAAGAUGUUUGGAAGCUACCAGCUUAUGGUUACCCUAUGAAAAUCCUUAGACAGAAGCUAAGAAAUGUUAAAUCUGCUUUGAAAGUUUGGAUCAAAGAAGUUUUCGGAGAUAUCCAUCUAAAGCCCGUCAACGCCUUCAAGAAGUUGGAAGAGAUCCAAUAAAAAAUUCAACAUCUGGAGCCCUCUGAUUCCCUUAUCAACUUGGAAACCCAAGCCCAAGUGGAUCUUCAAAAAGCUCUUGAUUUUGAAGAGUUGUUUUGGAAGGAUAAAGCUCGUUUGAAUUGGUUCACACGAGGGGAUCGUAAUACUGCAUUCGUUCACAAAUUUGCCAAACAAAGAAGGGCUCUUAAUCACAUAAGUGUCCUCGGGGAUGGGGAUUGUUUGCUCCAAACUCAGGACCAGAUUCAACAACAUAUCAUCCACUUUUACUCAGCUCUUUUCGCUACAGACAACAAGUGCAGGCCAAAUAAUUUAAUUUCUAGCCUCGUCCUUCCCUUGGUUACUAGUGAGGACAAUGCUUUCCUCACAAAUCUCCCUUCCCCUGAAGAGGUUAAAAAAACUGUUUUUUCGAUGAGUAGCACUGCUAAGUGCUACCCCAGACCCGAUGGUUUUGGGGGACAUUUUUUUUCAUACUUAUUGGGAUAUUAUUGCUAAGAGGUCUUCAUUUCCACCCUUCAGUUCUUCCCCUAGAACUGGAUUCUUCCCGGCCUUAACUCCAACAUUGUGGCCUUAAUUCCAAAAUGUGACAUUGCUGAUAAAAUUGAUUUUUUCAGCCUAUUGCUAUGGGUAACUUCCAGUUUAAGAUCAUUUCUAAAAUUCUAGCGGACCUUGCUAGUAUCGCUCCUAAAUUAGUUUCUCCUGAGCAGAGGGGAAUUAUCAAAGGGCGUAGAGUUGCUAAAUGCAUCCGCACCACUUCGGUGGCCUAUAAUUUGCUGCAAUGCAAAUCUUUUGGAGGAAACAUUGCCCUAAAAAUUGAUAUCAAAAAAGCUUUUGGCUCGUUGGACUGACAAUUCCUUCUCCAAGUUCUUCAUUCCUUCGGCUUCAGCACUACCUUUUGUUGCUGAAUAAAAACAAUCCUGGAUUCUGAGACUUUCUUUCUCUAUCAAUGGGUCUAUCUCGGGUGUGCGACAAGGCGACCCUUUAUCCCCUUUUCUUUUUUGCUUGGCAGAGGAGGUUCUCAGCAGGGGCACUGCUCAACUGAUUCAAUCUAAGAGGUACUAAGAGAAAUAUGUACAACCUAUUGAAUUUGUUUGACAGUUAUGGCCAAGCUUCCGGGCAGAUGAUCAGUCCUGAAAAAUGUCUCUUCUUCCUGGGUGCUAUGUCUCCUAGAAAAAUUUAUGAAGUUAAGGAUCAAUUGGGGUUUUUGCUAUUGGGUCCAUCCCCUUCUCAUACCUGGGCAUCCCUCUUUUUAUUGGUAAGCCUAGGCCAAUCCAUCUCAAACCUAUCUCUGACAGAAUAAAAUUGAAGCUUAUUUCCUAGAAAGCCUUGCUCCUCUACCUGAUGGGGGGAGUGCAGCUAGUUAACUCCAUUAUCAAUGGCAUGUUGGCUUACUCGUUCAAAGUUUACUCUUGGCCUCGCAGCAUGAUCAAAGACCUUGACAGUUGCAUCCGGAAUUUUGUUUGGGUCGGUAAUCCUAAUCAACGCAAGAUUUGCACUGUCAAAUGGCAAAAAGUAUGCAACCCCCUUGCUGAGGGUGGCCUUGGUCUUAGACAGAUUUCAGCUAUUAACAAUGCUGCAGCUCUCAUGCUCAGCUGGGACUUUAUUCACUCAAAGGAUCAAUGAGCUCAAUUUCUCAGAGCUCGUUUCUUCAGGAAUAAAUGUUGUGUCCAAACUUAUAAGAAAUCUUCAAUAUGGCCCACCAUUGAGAAAUUUCUCUCAGUUGCCACUGAUAACACUGGUUGGCUCAUUGGAUCAGGAUAGGAGAUAAAGUUUUGGAAUGAUAAGUGGUUUCUCGAAUCCACUAUUGCAGAUUUGCAAAGGCUACCCGUUAAAAUUAAAAUGCAGCUUUUAUCAUCGGUCCAUGAUUUUCAUCCAGGAAAUGAGUGGCUGAUCCCGAGCUUGCUGUUGGACAUAAUUCCACACUUAUCAAAUGUUGUUUCGCAUGUUACACCUUCCCCCCUCUUGGAUGACUUACCUGUUCAGUGUCCAACUGAGAAUGACACCCUCUUGUUUAAAGAUGCUUCUGGUUUCUUAAAGCCUCGCGAAAACCGUGAUCAUUGAUGGAAGAUAAUUUGGUCUCCGAUUAUUUCUCCAUCCAAAUCUUUCCUCCUCUGGCAAAUUCUGCAUGACAGAGUGCCUAUAGAUGAAAACUUGAGGAAAAGAGGUUGCUUUAUCACUUCUAUUUGCCCUUUGUGUGCUUUAUCACUUUGGGUGCCAUUUGGUUUUGCCGUAAUCAAUUAAGGUUCAAUGACAAAACUAUUCAUUUACAAACAGCAACUACUUUGAUCUCUUCUGCGGUCACUCUUUUGGACUUUUGCUCCAAAGGUGGGUCUUAAAACAGCAUCCCUGACUUCUCCUUAUUGAAAGUCUUUUCUGUUCCCAUCAAUCCAUCGAAGGAGUUGCAGUUUGUUAGCGUGAUUUGGUCCCCACCUGCGUGGGAUACCAUAAAAUGCAACACAUACAGAUCCUCUAGGGGCUCCCCGAGUCAUUCUGGUAUCAGGGAUCAUGAUGGUGCCUUUCUUUGGUGGCUUUUCGGUCUAUACGGGCAUGCAGUCCCCUCUUUUUGCUGAGAUUUUAGCCAUGGAAGCUGCAGUGGGCAGAAACUAGAGAAAGAUUUGGUUUGAAACUGAUUCGAUGGUUGAUGUAGAAGCUUUCAAAAACACUUGUUCCCUGGAAAAUUAGAAGACGUUGGGAACAUUGCAUUUUUUUGUGUAAAGAUAGAAUCAUGAUUUGUUCUCAAAUUUAUAGAGAAGGCAACUCUUGUUCUAAUCUUCUUGCCAAUUAUGGGGCGGAUUCUAAGUGUAGCUUCACUUGGUGGGAUAGUAUCCCUCUUUUUGUUAGACAUGAGUACCUUCGAAACAAGCAGUCCCUACCUAACCAUAGAACUUGCAAACUUGAUUAAUGGGUUUUGGCCUAGUCCCCCAUUUUGUUUUGUCCCUUGUUUUGAUUAUUUUUAAUGAUAUUUGGUUUCCCUUGGGUAGC